rnacentral:rRNA from 1 species
AGCGAACGCUGGCGGCAGGCCUAACACAUGCAAGUCGAACGAUCCUUCGGGAUAGUGGCGGACGGGUGAGUAACACGUGGGAACGUGCCCUUUGGUUCGGAACAACUCAGGGAAACUUGAGCUAAUACCGAAUGUGCCCUUCGGGGGAAAGAUUUAUCGCCAUUGGAGCGGCCCGCGUCUGAUUAGCUAGUUGGUGAGGUAACGGCUCACCAAGGCGACGAUCAGUAGCUGGUCUGAGAGGAUGAUCAGCCACACUGGGACUGAGACACGGCCCAGACUCCUACGGGAGGCAGCAGUGGGGAAUCUUGCGCAAUGGGCGAAAGCCUGACGCAGCCAUGCCGCGUGAAUGAUGAAGGUCUUAGGAUUGUAAAAUUCUUUCACCGGGGACGAUAAUGACGGUACCCGGAGAAGAAGCCCCGGCUAACUCCGUGCCAGCAGCCGCCGUAAGAC